UACGGGGGGGGUAAGCGUUGUUCGGAAUUACUGGGCGUAAAGGGCUCGUAGGCGGCCAACUAAGUCAUACGUGAAAUCCCUCAGCUUAACUGGGGAACUGCGUGUGAUACUGGAUGGCUUGGAUUUGGGAGAGGGAUGCGGAAUUCCAGGUGUAGCGGUGAAAUGCGUAGAUAUCUGGAGGAACACCGGUGGCGAAGGCGGCUUCCUGGCCUGUUCUUGACGCUGAGGCGCGAAAGCUAGGGGAGCAAACGGG
rnacentral:rRNA from 1 species